CCUACGGGAGGCAGCAGUGAGGAAUAUUGCUCAAUGGGCGCGAGCCUGACGCAGCCAAGUAGCGUGAAGGAUGACUGCCCUCCGGGUUGUAAGCUUCUUUUAUAACGGGGUAGAGUUUGACACGUAUGCCUUUUUGUAUGUACUUUAUGAAUAAGGAUCGGCUAACUCAGUGCCAGCAGCCGCGGUAAUACGGAGGAUCCGAGCGUUAUCCGGAUUGAUUGGGUUUAAAGGGAGCGUAGAUGGGUUGUUAAGUCAGUUGUGAAAGUCUGCGGCUGAACCGUAAAAUUGCAAUUGAUACUGGCAGCCUUGAGUACAGUUGAGGUAGGUGGAAUUCGUGGUGUAGCGGUGAAAUGCUUAGAUAUCACGAAGAACUCCGAUUGCGAAGGCAGCUUACUAAACUGCUACUGACAUUGAUGUUCGAAAGUGUGGGUAUCAAACAGGAUUAGAUACCCCGGUAGUC
rnacentral:rRNA from 1 species